GUGAGGAAUAUUGGUCAAUGGGCGACAGCCUGAACCAGCCAUCCCGCGUGAAGGAAGACUGCCCUAUGGGUUGUAAACUUCUUUUCCGGAGGAAUAAAAUCCCGAACGUGUUCGGGACUGAAGGUACUCCGGGAAUAAGCAUCGGCUAACUCCGUGCCAGCAGCCGCGGUAAUACGGAGGAUGCGAGCGUUAUCCGGAUUUAUUGGGUUUAAAGGGUGCGUAGGCGGAUUAAUAAGUCAGUGGUGAAAACCUUCAGCUUAACUGGAGACUUGCCAUUGAUACUGUUAGUCUUGAGUACGGUCAAGGUAGGCGGAAUGUGUAAUGUAGCGGUGAAAUGCUUAGAUAUUACACAGAACACCGAUUGCGAAGGCAGCUUACUGGGCCGUUACUGACGCUGAUGCACGAAAGCGUGGGGAGCGAACAGGAUUAGAUACCCCAGUAGUCC
rnacentral:rRNA from 1 species